rnacentral:snoRNA from 1 species
AUGUAAAUUAAAACCACAAGACAGAAGUUCUCCAUAGGAAACCAUAGUCACUCAGUAGUCGUUCUAUGAUUUCCAGAGGAGAUAUGCUG